UGUCCUAGAGACAUCAGUGAUGCAGUUAACACAUUAAACAUUCCGCCUGGGGAGUACGGUCGCAAGAUUAAAACUCAAAGGAAUAGACGGGGACCCGCACAAGUGGUGGAGCAUGUGGUUUAAUUCGAAGAUACGCGAAGAACCUUACCUAGCCUUGACAUAUUUUAGAACUCAGCAGAGAUGUAGAGGUGCCUUCGGGAGCUAAUAUACAGGUGCUGCACGGCUGUCGUCAGCUCGUGUCGUGAGAUGUUGGGUUAAGUCCCGCAACGAGCGCAACCCUCGUCACUAGUUACUAACGAUUCGGUCGAGGACUCUAGUGAGACUGCCUUCGUAAGGAGGAGGAAGGUGAGGACGACGUCAAGUCAUCAUGGCCCUUACGGCUAGGGCAACACACGUGCUACAAUGGUUAGGACAAUGAGAGGCGAUACCGCGAGGUGGAGCAAAUCUAUAAACCUAAUCUCAGUUCGGAUUGUAGUCUGCAACUCGACUACAUGAAGCUGGAAUCACUAGUAAUCGUAGAUCAGCUAUGCUACGGUGAAUACGUUCCCGGGUCUUGUACUCACCGCCCGUCACACCAUGGGAGUUGAUUUCACCCGAAGCGGGGAAGCUAAACUGGCUACCCUCCACGGUGGAAUUAGCGACUGGGGUGAAGUCGUAACAAGGUA
rnacentral:rRNA from 1 species